AGGUGGUGGUAUGGACACGCUCUCGGUAGGUCUUUGAACCUAUUCCAUGCUUCCUUCAAUGUCUCAUCAGGCUCUUGUAAGAAUGUAGCAAGUUUAUGUUCCAUUUC